UCGAUUCCCUUAGUAGCGGCGAGCGAAACGGGAAGAGCCCAAACCAACAAGCUUGCUUGUUGGGGUUGUAGGACACUCUAUACGGAGUUACAAAGGACGACAUUAGACGAAUCAUCUGGAAAGAUGAAUCAAAGAAGGUAAUAAUCCUGUAGUCGAAAAUGUUGUCUCUCUUGAGUGGAUCCUGAGUACGACGGAGCACGUGAAAUUCCGUCGGAAUCUGGGAGGACCAUCUCCUAAGGCUAAAUACUCUCUAGUGACCGAUAGUGAACCAGUACCGUGAGGGAAAGGUGAAAAGCACCCCGGAAGGGGAGUGAAAUAGAACCUGAAACCGUGUGCUUACAAGUAGUCAGAGCCCGUUAAUGGGUGAUGGCGUGCCUUUUGUAGAAUGAACCGGCGAGUUACGAUUUGAUGCAAGGUUAAGCAGUAAAUGUGGAGCCGUAGCGAAAGCGAGUCUGAAUAGGGCGUUUAGUAUUUGGUCGUAGACCCGAAACCAGGUGAUCUACCCUUGGUCAGGUUGAAGUUCAGGUAACACUGAAUGGAGGACCGAACCGACUUACGUUGAAAAGUGAGCGGAUGAACUGAGGGUAGCGGAGAAAUUCCAAUCGAACCUGGAGAUAGCUGGUUCUCUCCGAAAUAGCUUUAGGGCUAGCCUCAAGUGAUGAUUAUUGGAGGUAGAGCACUGUUUGGACGAGGGGCCCCUCUCGGGUUACCGAAUUCAGACAAACUCCGAAUGCCAAUUAAUUUAACUUGGGAGUCAGAACAUGGGUGAUAAGGUCCGUGUUCGAAAGGGAAACAGCCCAGACCACCAGCUAAGGUCCCAAAAUAUAUGUUAAGUGGAAAAGGAUGUGGCGUUGCCCAGACAACUAGGAUGUUGGCUUAGAAGCAGCCAUCAUUUAAAGAGUGCGUAAUAGCUCACUAGUCGAGUGACACUGCGCCGAAAAUGUACCGGGGCUAAACAUAUUACCGAAGCUGUGGAUUGUCCUUUGGACAAUGGUAGGAGAGCGUUCUAAGGGCGUUGAAGCAUGAUCGUAAGGACAUGUGGAGCGCUUAGAAGUGAGAAUGCCGGUGUGAGUAGCGAAAGACGGGUGAGAAUCCCGUCCACCGAUUGACUAAGGUUUCCAGAGGAAGGCUCGUCCGCUCUGGGUUAGUCGGGUCCUAAGCUGAGGCCGACAGGCGUAGGCGAUGGAUAACAGGUUGAUAUUCCUGUACCACCUAUAAUCGUUUUAAUCGAUGGGGGGACGCAGUAGGAUAGGCGAAGCGUGCGAUUGGAUUGCACGUCUAAGCAGUAAGGCUGAGUAUUAGGCAAAUCCGGUACUCGUUAAGGCUGAGCUGUGAUGGGGAGAAGACAUUGUGUCUUCGAGUCGUUGAUUUCACACUGCCGAGAAAAGCCUCUAGAU
rnacentral:rRNA from 1 species